rnacentral:rRNA from 1 species
GGCUAACUGAAAAUUCAAAGGAAGACAAACCAAAUCGGAGAGAAAUACAAGAGCACAAUGAAUUUUAGGGUAAAGAAAAUCUGAUACUCCAUCGCGCCUCGAGCUGUAGCCAACCGAUCCGGCGACACCCGAGCCCGACAUCGACCACAUCAUACAUACAAGGCACACCUCGGCGUCAGCCGUGCGACUCACCCUUUUCCCCCAUGUCGGACGUUUACAAGAAAGCCAAGCCCGGCCGCCUCGUCUUCAAGGGCGGCGAGGCCGCCACCCUCCGCAAGCCCAAGAAGCAAAAGAAGAACAAGAAGCCCGCCGACGAUGUCCCCGCCGACGCCGACGCUGAAGCCGCCGCUGCCGCUGCGGCCACGGAGGGUGCCGAAGCCGGAGGCGACUACACCAUCGACGCGGCGAAGCGGAUGAAGUACGAGGAGCUGUUCCCCGUGGAGACGAGGAAGUUCGGGUACGACCCGUCCAACGCCGCCCGCACCUCCCGCGACCGCACCGUCGAGCAGGCCCUCGACGACCGCGUGAGGAAGAAGGCCGACCGCUACUGCAAGUGAGGUGAUUAACUCAUCUUAGUCGUUUGCUGCUGUGAUGGACAGACGGCUCACUUCAGUUAGUUGUUCUCAAUGUAUCAGAAAGUGCAUCUUUGGACAACUGUUAGUCCAAUGGUGGCAUAUGUAAUAGAACUAUUCUCUGCAGCGAUCAAGCAAUUCCUUUAUCUUGCAUGUUUGUACUAGUAAACACGUGUAUAAAAUCUCAUGUUCACUCUCGGUUGUCCGUUUUGGUCAAUUGGAUAAAUGGUGUAUGCUUGGUACAUGCCAAUUUAUAACUGUG